UGUAAGCGUAUACCAAAGUUGUUGCAGUUAAAACGCUCGUAGUCGGAAUUUGGCAGUUCCGGAAGUGUGCACGUCGUGUGCGCACUUUGCGGGGACUGCUUUUGUGGUCUUGCGUAGGAUGAGGCACUUUCAUUAGUGAACGUCCUCACGCAACCACUCUUUACUGUGAGAAAAUCAGAGUGCUCGAAGCAGGCAUUUGCCGUGAAUGUAUUAGCAUGGAAUAAUAGAAUAGGACUCGGUUCUAUUUUGUUGGUUUGUUGGGACUGAGUAAUGAUUAAGAGGGACAGUUGGGGGCAUUUGUAUUCCGGCGCUAGAGGUGAAAUUCUUAGAUUGCCGGAAGACAAACUGCUGCGAAAGCGUCUGCCAAGGAUGUUUUCAUUGA
rnacentral:rRNA from 1 species